GUCUAUGGCUAUAUCACCCCGAACGCACCUGAUCUUGGAAGCUAAGCAGGGUUGGGCCUGGUUAGUACUUGGAUGGGAGAAAUCUUGUAGGAGAAAGGGGACUGUAAUCU
rnacentral:rRNA from 1 species